GAUGAACGCUAGCGGAAGGCAUAAUACAUGCAAGUCGAACGGAUGUAGCAAUACAUUAGUGGCGCACGGGUGCGUAACGCGUAUGCAACCUACCUUCAUCAGGGGGAUAACUACCCGAAAGGGUGGCUAACACCGCAUGAUACUAUUGAGUGGCAUCACUUGACAUUUAAAUCUGAGGAGGAUGAAGAUGGGCAUGCGUCUGAUUAGCUAGUUGGUGUGGUAACGGCGCACCAAGGCGACGAUCAGUAGGGGAACUGAGAGGUUGGUCCCCCACACUUGCACUGAGAUACGGGCCAGACUCCUACGGGAGGCAGCAGUAGGGAAUAGUGGUCAAUGGUGGGAACACUGAACCAGCCAUUCCGCGUGCAGGAAGAAGGGUCUCUGACUUGUAAACUGCUUUAGCAAGGGAAGAAAAAGCUCAUGCGUGAGAAAUUGACGGUACCUUGAGAAUAAGCACCGGCUAACUACGUGCCAGCCGCCGCCGUAAGAC
rnacentral:rRNA from 1 species